GCGGGAAUAGCUCAGUUGGUAGAGCACGACCUUGCCAAGGUCGGGGUCGCGAGUUCGAGCCUCGUUUCCCGCUCCAUUA
rnacentral:tRNA from 1 species